GACGAACGCUGGCGGCAGGCCUAACACAUGCAAGUCGAACGUGAAGCCACCUUCGGGUGGUGGAAAGUGGCAGACGGGUGAGUAACGCGUGGGAAUCUACCCAAUGGUACGGAAUAACUCAGGGAAACUUGAGCUAAUACCGUAUGUGCCCGAAAGGGGAAGAUUUAUCGCCAUUGGAUGAGCCCGCGUCUGAUUAGCUAGUUGGUGGGGUAAUGGCCCACCAAGGCGACGAUCAGAGCUGGUCUGAGAGGAUGAUCAGCCACACUGGGACUGAGACACGGCCCAGACUCCUACGGGAGGCAGCAGUGGGGGAAUAUUGGACAAUGGGCGCAAGCCUGAUCCAGCCAUGCCGCGUGAGUGAUGAAGGCCCUAGGGUUGGUAAAGCUCUUUCGGCGGGGACGAUAAUGACGUACCCGCAGAA
rnacentral:rRNA from 1 species